rnacentral:rRNA from 1 species
GACGAACGCUGGCGGCGUGCUUAACACAUGCAAGUCGAACGGAGCGAAUGAAAGCUUGCUUUUAUGAGCUUAGUGGCAAACGGGUGAGUAACACGUAGGCAACCUGCCGACAGGAUGGGGACAACAUUCCGAAAGGAAUGCUAAUACCGAAUGAAGUCAGAGAAGGGCAUCCUUUUCUGAUGAAAGAUGGCCUCUGAAUAUGCUAUCACCUGUCGAUGGGCCUGCGUCUGAUUAGCUAGUUGGUGAGGUAACGGCUCACCAAGGCGACGAUCAGUAGCCGGUCUGAGAGGAUGAACGGCCACAUUGGGACUGAGACACGGCCCAGACUCCUACGGGAGGCAGCAGUGGGGAAUCUUCCGCAAUGGGCGCAAGCCUGACGGAGCAACGCCGCGUGAGUGAAGAAGGUCUUCGGAUCGUAAAGCUCUGUUGAUGGGGACGAACGUGCGAAGGGUGAAUAAUCCUUUGCAAUGACGGUACCUAUC